GACGACAACAUUGGAGACGCACAUGAGUGCAACAAAGGACUUUACGCCCCCUUCUUUCCUCUUAAACGAACAACUGUGCAAUGAUACGUCGUGCGUGCGCGUGUUUAUGGGCUCGUGGGUGUGUGCAGGCUUGCUGAUGUGCAUCACAUACACAGACUCAACAAACAAUCGCUCGCGCGCACACGAGCAAACUCAUCCCUCGUGUGCCCUUCUCUCCGCCCCCCUCCUCUUUUCGCGUCCUUCGUCGUUGACACGAAAGGAAAUGAGGAAAAAGAAGAAAAGACAGAAGUAAAUAGAGGGGCAUAGAACGGCGCGAAAAAAGCGUGACAUCUCAUGCGUCGUUUGUUGCUGUGUGAGGUACAUCUCGAAAAGCGAACUUGCAGUCGCUCACCUUCACACCUAUCCACCGAUGCGGACGCACACUCCGAGCGUGUGUCUCCGUAGUUCCCCGCUUUCGCUAAGAAAAACACUCUUCGCUGUCGUUUCAUCUUUUGUUGGUUCUCUUGACCGUGUUGUUGUUCGUGGUACCACACACAAAAAAAU
rnacentral:misc_RNA from 1 species